AUUGAACGCUGGCGGCAUGCCUUACACAUGCAAGUCGAACGGCAGCGCGGACUUCGGUCUGGCGGCGAGUGGCGAACGGGUGAGUAAUACAUCGGAACGUACCCUGUUGUGGGGGAUAACUAGUCGAAAGAUUAGCUAAUACCGCAUACGACCUGAGGGUGAAAGUGGGGGACCGCAAGGCCUCACGCAGCAGGAGCGGCCGAUGUCUGAUUAGCUAGUUGGUGGGGUAAGGGCCCACCAAGGGGACGAUCAGUAGCUGGUCUGAGAGGAAGGUCAGGCCAACUGGGACUGAGAAACGGCCCAGACUCCUACGGGAGGCAGCAGUGGGGAAUUUUGGACAAUGGGGGCAACCCUGAUCCAGCAAUGCCGCGUGUGUGAAGAAGGCCUUCGGGUUGUAAAGCACUUUUGUCCGGAAAGAAAUCGCGCUGGUUAAUACCUGGCGUGGAUGACGGUACCGGAAGAAUAAGCACCGGCUAACUACGUGCCAGCCGCCGCCGUAA
rnacentral:rRNA from 1 species